CACAUCUCGUGAUGGGUAAGAGCAGAGAGCUGGCUCAAGACCACCGCAAAGUGCUCCUCGCAAGAUUGCUGACAGAAAUGAUCCAAAAAGUUGUCCAAGAGCCAAGGACCACCUGUGGGGAGCUUCAAAAAGUCCUGGAACUAGCAGGGAGUUCUCAAAUUAAGAUGACCUCAUGACCUGACCUAGGGUAAGCAGAAGUAAAUGGAUGGCUGGAUGAAGGUGUAGCUAAUGAAGUGGCUAUUGGGCAUAUAGAGAAAGCAGUGGAAAAAGAGAGCGCUGUGUUGCAUAAGCACCUCGCUUGUUUCUUCUUUUAUGUGAACAGGAUAUACUAACUAAUUUUAGGAAGAAAGAAGUGUCAGCAGAUAUUUAGCAUAUCUAUAGAGACUUGAAGAAGCCAAUUUGACAGAUUAUUCUAGAACCAGCUGAGCAGCAUUUUGGGGCCUUAAGGUUCUGGAGUGCAAAAUCGCAUUCAAAGCACUUUUUUCGGUGAGGUCUUAAGGUGCUUAAGUGCUUAUAAGCGCUAAAGAGAAUCAUGUGAUGAAGUGAAAACCUUGCACACAUCUCUCUGUGCAUUUAUUGUACGGAUGUAUUCACACUUAUGCCAUUGUGCCUUGUAAAGUGCGCAAUUACACAUUUUGGAAUUAUUUUUGCUUUGGUUUUAAUCAGGAAAGGGGGGGGGUGCACAAAAUUAGCUUUUCUAUUUUUCAGAUAGGAAGCAUCUUGCAAAAUGUUUUAUGCCAUAAAUGAUUUUCACUGGAUGCUGACAAGACAAAAUACUGCAUGGUUAAUGCUUUCAGCAACAAUGCCUGGGCGCAUUUUCACAAGGUAAAUACAGAGAUUACUUGGGAUUGGUCAAAUUAUUAUGAAAAUAUAUUAAAACAGAGGUGCAAGCAAAAGAUCAAAGUAUUUGCAUCUGCAAAGCAUGAAGUCAGAUUGCUGAUG